GGCGAAUGAAGAGGGAAAAGCCCAAAUUUGUAAUCUGGCUCUUUCAGAGUCCGAGUUGUAAUUUUAAGAACUGUUUUCAGUGCUGGACCAUGUACAAGUCUUCUGAAAAGAAGCAUCAUAGAAGGUGAUAAUCCUGUUCAUGAUAUGGACUACCAGUGCAAUAUGAUACAGUCUCUAAGAGUCGAGUUGUUUGGGAAUGCAGCUCAAAGUGGGUGGUAAAUUCCAUCUAAGGCUAAAUAUUGAUGAGAGACCGAUAGCAAACAAGUACCGUGAGGGAAAGAUGAAAAGAACUUUGGAAAGAGAGUUAACAGUACGUGAAAUUGUUAAAAGGGAAACAAUUGAAGUUAGACUUGUUAUUAAUAGUUCAACCUUUUUAAGGGAGUAUUCUAUUGAUUAACAGACCAACAUCAGUUUUUGGGUGUUGGAGAAGGGUUUAAGGAAAUGUAGCAGUUUCUGACUGUGUUAUAUUCCUUUUGAACUUUGAUACAAUGCUUAAGAUUGAGGAAUG
rnacentral:rRNA from 1 species